ensembl:snoRNA
AAAAAAAGUGUCCUUGAGCUUUCUGUCUGAUUGUGGCAGCCAAGAUUGAAUAGAGGA